UAAGCGACAAACCUUUAGUGA
rnacentral:piRNA from 1 species